ensembl:miRNA MIR3678 microRNA 3678
GAAUCCGGUCCGUACAAACUCUGCUGUGUUGAAUGAUUGGUGAGUUUGUUUGCUCAUUGAUUGAAUCACUGCAGAGUUUGUACGGACCGGAUUC